CUCAAUCUUUCUAUCUCACUCAUAUCCGCCUCUCUCUCAAAUCUCAUUGCAUCUAGGCUUUCAUCAAAGAUAGCAUCCAUUUUGAAUGGAUUGACAGUUGGAGACCCACUCCCUAAGAAUCUCAUGGAAUCUCCAGCAAGGUCUGAGAGUUUGUUUUAUCCAAGGAAGUCAAGAAUCAAAAUGAGUCCUUGGUGUCUAUUGUAUGCAAGGUUUGAUAGCUAGGUUGUGGAGAUGGGCCUCAUCCAGCUCUUUAAUGAGCUUUGCUGUACUUUGCCAUGGAACAAACUCAUGAAUGAUGAAGGAGUUGCAUUUGCAAGGAAAAAGUUCUAAGGAUAUUAAAGAGUGGCUCAAAAGAACUCCAAUGCAUCCAGGGGUAAUUGCAGCUAUUAGAUCAGCUCAUGCUUCAUCGUAAAUGUUUCAGCCAAAUUAUUAAUGGUCGAUUGUGUGCUAAUUAUGUUUUUCUACUUGUUUGGUGCUAAAACAAACGUUGUGGUAUUCAAUAUGAUUGUUGCAUAUGUGAUUUAAGGAUUAUUAGUGAUGCAAAUAAGUUUUUUUAUUGAGACAAUUCUGCAAUGUCAUGGUUUGUUAGGAUGCUUCUCACAGAUCGUCACAAUUUAAAUAACUGGUUGGUUUUUAUA